rnacentral:rRNA from 1 species
UGCGUAGGCGGCAUUAUAAGUCAGAGGUGAAAUCCCACAGCUUAACUGUGGAACUGCCUUUGAUACUGUAAAGCUUGAAUCAGGUUGAGGUCGGCGGAAUGUGUUGUGUAGCGGUGAAAUGCAUAGAUAUGACAUAGAACACCAAUUGCGAAGGCAGCUGGCUAGACCUGUAUUGACGCUGAGGCACGAAAGCGUGGGGAGCGAACAGGAUUAGAUACCCUGGUAGUCC